rnacentral:rRNA from 1 species
AGUGAACGCUGGCGGUAGGCCUAACACAUGCAAGUCGAACGGCAGCACAGUAAGAGCUUGCUCUUACGGGUGGCGAGUGGCGGACGGGUGAGGAAUACAUCGGAAUCUACUUUUUCGUGGGGGAUAACGUAGGGAAACUUACGCUAAUACCGCAUACGACCUACGGGUGAAAGCAGGGGAUCUUCGGACCUUGCGCGAUUGAAUGAGCCGAUGUCGGAUUAGCUAGUUGGCAGGGUAAAGGCCCACCAAGGCGACGAUCCGUAGCUGGUCUGAGGGGAUGGUCAGCAAAACGGAACUGAGACACGGUCCAGACUCCUACGGGAGGCAGCAGUGGGGAAUAUUGGACAAUGGGCGCAAGCCUGAUCCAGCCAUACCGCGUGGGUGAAGAAGGCCUUCGGGUUGUAAAGCCCUUUUGUUGGGAAAGAAAAGCAGCAGGUUAAUACCCCGCUGUUCUGACGGUACCCAAAGAAUAAGCACCGGCUAACUUCGUG